rnacentral:rRNA from 1 species
UACAGAGGGUGCAAGCGUUGCUCGGAAUUACUGGGCGUAAAGCGUGCGCAGGCGGUUUUGUAAGCCAGAUGUGAAAGCCCCGGGCUUAACCUGGGAAUGGCAUUUGGGACUGCAAGGCUUGAGUGCGGCAGAGGAGACUGGAAUUCCCGGUGUAGCAGUGAAAUGCGUAGAUAUCGGGAGGAAUACCGAUGGCGAAGGCAGGUCUCUGGGCUGACACUGACGCUCAUGCACGAAAGCGUGGGGAGCAAACAGG